CCCGCCAUAGUAUUCCAGCUGCUGAAAUCACCAAAAAUAGAAAGUAAAUAGGAUCUUCACUUCUCUCCACCUACACCUUGAAGAUUGCUUGAAGAAUGCAGUGAUUGAGUAUUUCUAUUUGGAGUUUGGUUUUAACUUGAAAGCAAAGUAAUGCUGUAAUAACCGUUUACUAAUUCUGGAAGAGGAUGCAGAUUAACUUACAUUUCAGUCUGGAUGACGAUGUUGACAUGAAAAGAUCGUAUUAAUAAGUAAUUACCAAGAUGGCGCUGAUGACCUGUAAAUAUCUUAUUAAUAAGUGUUAACCUGAGGUUUGUUAUAAAGAGAAAUAAGGUUACUGAGACAGUGACAAAGAAAGAAGACACAGAAUGGUGUAUUUCCCAUGACAAUCUGAAUGAAAUAUUGAGCAACACAGCC